GUCUGUGAUCAUACCACCCUGAAUGCACCUGAUCUCAUUUGAUUUUGGAAGCUAAACAGGGUUGGGCCUGGUUAGUACUUGGAUGGGAGACCGCCUGAGAAUACUGGGUGCUGUAGGCU
ensembl:rRNA 5S_rRNA 5S ribosomal RNA